CUCAAAUGCCAGGUUCCCAGUGACCCAAUCAACCCUAAUCUUUUGUCAGAAUACCCAAACUGUUCUCUCUCACUGCCUCGAUUUCUCUCUCUCAGGCUCUGAUCGCCAUCAUCGCCUGCUUCUUCUUCUUCUUCUACAGACUUUGUCAUGAGAAUGUUGAUCAUUACUUUCGAGAUUGAACACGAAGAAGAAGAAGGGUGGUUGUGAUUGUUUUGGUUUGGUUUGGUUUUUUCGGGUUUGUCACAUGGAGGAGGAGACAUUUUUUGUUGGUCAAGAGUUCCCUGAUGUAAAAGCGUUUAGGAAUGCGAUUAAAGAAGCUGCAAUUGCCCAACACUUUGAGCUUCGUAUAAUAAAAGGUGACCUUAUCCGGUACUUUGCAAAGUGUGCAGCGGAGGCUUGUCCUUGACGUAUUCGUGCUGUUAAGCUUCCUAAUGCGCCGACAUUUGCGAUAAGAAGCCUUGAAGGGAAGCACACUUGCGGUAGAAAUGCGCACAACGGGCACGAUCAGGCGUCUAUUGAUUGGAUUGUUAGUUUUAUAGAACAACGCCUGCGGGAUAACAUUAAUUACAAGCCGAAGGAUAUAUUGCAUGAUAUCCAUCAGCAGUACGGGAUUACCGUACCUUAUAAGCAGGCUUGGCGUGCAAAGGAACGGGGACUUGCUGCGAUAUAUGGAUCUUCCGAGGAAGGGUAUUGCCUUCUUCCUUCAUACUGUGAAGAAAUAAAGAAGACCAACCCUGGAAGCAUUGCUGAGGUGUUUACUACUGGUCCAGAUCACCGGUUCCAGCGGUUAUUUGUUUCCUUUUAUUCAUCCAUUUAUGGUUUUCUAAAUGGUUGCUUGCCUGUUAUUGGGCUUGGUGGAAUCCAUCUUAAGAGCAAAUAUCUCGGCACCUUACUCUCUGCAACUUCUUUUGAUGCUGAAGGGGGUUUAUUUCCACUUGCAUUUGGUGUUGUUGAUGAAGAAAAUGAUGAGAGCUGGAUGUGGUUCUUGUCAGAGUUGCACAAGGCACUAGAGAUGAACACCCAAAAUAUGCCACAGCUCACAUUUAUAUCUGAUACACAGAAGGACAUUGCAGACGCUGUGAGAAGGAAAUUCCCAAAUUCUGUACAUGAUAUUUGCAUUCGCCACUUGAGUGAAAGCAUUGGAAAAGAAUUCAAGAACCCAAGGCUUGUUCAUCUGUUAUGGAAAGCUGCACAAGCCACUACUACGAGUGGUUUCAAAGAAAAAAUGGCUGAAAUAGAGGAGGUUUCUUUAGAUGCUGCAAAAUGGCUGCAACAAUUUCAUCCUUCCCGCUGGGCAUUUGUGUAUUUUGAAGGAACACAUUAUGGUCAUUUCUCAUCAAAUAUUGAGGAGUUCAAUAAAUGGAUUCUGGAAGCUCGUGAAUUGCCCAUAAUCCAGGUGAUUGAAAGGAUUCAUGGUAAAUUGAUGACGGAGUUUGAAGAACGGCGUAAGCAAAGUAAUUCUUGGUUUUCCUUACUUGCUCCAUCUGCUGAGAACUAUAUUUUAGAAGCCAUCAGCCGUGCAUCCACAUAUCAGGUCCUUAGAUCUGAUCAAGUUGAAUUUGAGGUCCUCUCAGCUGAUCGAUCAGACAUAGUGAAUAUUGGAACCCAUUGUUGUUCCUGCCGCGAAUGGCAGCUAUAUGGUUUACCAUGUUCCCAUGCUGUUGCUGCCCUCAUCUCAUGUCAGAAAGAUGUAUAUGCCUUUACAGAGAAAUGUUUUACUGCAGCAAGUUACCGUGAGACGUAUGCUGGAGAGAUAUAUCCCAUUGAAGCAAAACCCCGAUGGGUUAAGACAGAAGAGGCUGCAAUGACUGAUGAUGAUGAUAAUCGAGUUUUUGUGCGACCUCCUAAGAUUCGUAGGCUGCCAGGGCGCCCCGAAAAGAAACGGGUUUGUGUAGAAGGCAUUAAUCCUGGCAAACAUACUGUAUGUUGCAGUCUCUGUAAUCAGACCGGACAUUAUAAGACAACCUGCAAAGAGAGAUUCUGAAGAGAAUCAAACAUUUCUAGGUGUCUUAACUUUAAAUUCUAGAGAUCAUCUCAGCAGGGGUGUGCGAUUCACGUCUGCAACAUUUCCAUUAGCAAUCUUACAAAGUUCAUUCUUUGUGCUGAGGAGAAAUUCAAAUGAAACUAGUGAAGUGAAACUGAUGGAACAAGCUUUUGCCUUUCUGGUUGCCAAAUUAACUGAAGACGGCACAAUUGCUUUGUCAAACUUUUAAACCCACCAUUUCGCAGCAAGAAAGAUUUCACGGAUAGCAGUGGCAUAUUGACCUAUUUUUAACCUUUAGAUUGGUCUAUGCGCCCUGACGGCCCUGUGGAGUGUGCUUUACAAUGAUAGAUGGGUCUGCAAUAUGUGUAAAACUGAUGGAAAUUCUGAUAUAGCAUUGGCCUCGAUGGGAAAUAGCACAAUAUUUUG